rnacentral:rRNA from 1 species
AUGUACAACCAUACCAUGCUGAGGGUGCUCAGUUCAGUCUGAUCUUGAAAGCUAAGCAGUAUCGGUCUGGUUAGUGCUGGAAUGGAAGGAUGAGAGCAAUUGCACUGU